rnacentral:rRNA from 1 species
GGUUAAGCGACUAAGCGUACACGGUGGAUGCCCUGGCAGUCAGAGGCGAUGAAGGGCGUGCUAAUCUGCGAUAAGCGCCGGUAAGGUGAUAUGAACCGUUAUAACCGGCGAUACCCGAAUGGGGAAACCCAGUGUGAUUCGUCACACUAUCAUUAACUGAAUCCAUAGGUUAAUGAGGCGAACCGGGGGAACUGAAACAUCUAAGUACCCCGAGGAAAAGAAAUCAACCGAGAUUCCCCCAGUAGCGGCGAGCGAACGGGGAGGAGCCCAGAGCCUGAAUCAGCAUGUGUGUUAGUGGAAGCGUCUGGAAAGGCGCGCGAUACAGGGUGACAGCCCCGUACACAAAAGCGCAUGUGCUGUGAGCUCGAUGAGUAGGGCGGGACACGUGGUAUCCUGUCUGAAUAUGGGGGGACCAUCCUCCAAGGCUAAAUACUCCUGACUGACCGAUAGUGAACCAGUACCGUGAGGGAAAGGCGAAAAGAACCCCGGCGAGGGGAGUGAAAAAGAACCUGAAACCGUGUACGUACAAGCAGUGGGAGCCCCACCACCAAAGCAUUCUCUGGUGUUGAAGGCCCUGCAAAGCAGCAUCGCGGUGGCGGAGCGUCGUUUGCGACGCCCAACACACAAAACAAGCGGUGAGUGCUUUGGGGUGGGGUGACUGCGUACCUUUUGUAUAAUGGGUCAGCGACUUAUAUUCUGUAGCAAGGUUAACCGAAUAGGGGAGCCGGAGGGAAACCGAGUCUUAAUUGGGCGUUAAGUUGCAGGGUAUAGACCCGAAACCCGGUGAUCUAGCCAUGGGCAGGUUGAAGGUUGGGUAACACUAACUGGAGGACCGAACCGACUAAUGUUGAAAAAUUAGCGGAUGACCUGUGGCUGGGGGUGAAAGGCCAAUCAAACCGGGAGAUAGCUGGUUCUCCCCGAAAGCUAUUUAGGUAGCGCCUCGUGAAUUCAUCUCCGGGGGUAGAGCACUGUUUCGGCUAGGGGGCCAUCCCGGCUUACCAACCCGAUGCAAACUGCGAAUACCGGAGAAUGUUAUCACGGGAGACACACGGCGGGUGCUAACGUCCGUCGUGAAGAGGGAAACAACCCAGACCGCCAGCUAAGGUCCCAAAGUCAUGGUUAAGUGGGAAACGAUGUGGGAAGGCCCAGACAGCCAGGAUGUUGGCUUAGAAGCAGCCAUCAUUUAAAGAAAGCGUAAUAGCUCACUGGUCGAGUCGGCCUGCGCGGAAGAUGUAACGGGGCUAAACCAUGCACCGAAGCUGCGGCAGCGACACUCAGGUGUUGUUGGGUAGGGGAGCGUUCUGUAAGCCUGCGAAGGUGGCCUGUGAGGGUUGCUGGAGGUAUCAGAAGUGCGAAUGCUGACAUAAGUAACGAUAAAGCGGGUGAAAAGCCCGCUCGCCGGAAGACCAAGGGUUCCUGUCCAACGUUAAUCGGGGCAGGGUGAGUCGACCCCUAAGGCGAGGCCGAAAGGCGUAGUCGAUGGGAAACGGGUUAAUAUUCCCGUACUUGGUGUUACUGCGAAGGGGGGGACGGAGAAGGCUAUGUUGGCCGGGCGACGGUUGUCCCGGUUUAAGCGUGUAGGUGUGUGUUCCAGGUAAAUCCGGUUCACUUUAACACUGAGGCGUGAUGACGAGGCACUACGGUGCUGAAGCAACAAAUGCCCUGCUUCCAGGAAAAGCCUCUAAGCAUCAGGUAACAUCAAAUCGUACCCCAAACCGACACAGGUGGUCAGGUAGAGAAUACCAAGGCGCUUGAGAGAACUCGGGUGAAGGAACUAGGCAAAAUGGUGCCGUAACUUCGGGAGAAGGCACGCUGACACGUAGGUGAAGUGAUUUACUCAUGGAGCUGAAGUCAGUCGAAGAUACCAGCUGGCUGCAACUGUUUAUUAAAAACACAGCACUGUGCAAACACGAAAGUGGACGUAUACGGUGUGACGCCUGCCCGGUGCCGGAAGGUUAAUUGAUGGGGUCAGCGCAAGCGAAGCUCCUGAUCGAAGCCCCGGUAAACGGCGGCCGUAACUAUAACGGUCCUAAGGUAGCGAAAUUCCUUGUCGGGUAAGUUCCGACCUGCACGAAUGGCGUAAUGAUGGCCAGGCUGUCUCCACCCGAGACUCAGUGAAAUUGAACUCGCUGUGAAGAUGCAGUGUACCCGCGGCAAGACGGAAAGACCCCGUGAACCUUUACUAUAGCUUGACACUGAACAUUGAGCCUUGAUGUGUAGGAUAGGUGGGAGGCUUUGAAGUGUGGACGCCAGUCUGCAUGGAGCCGACCUUGAAAUACCACCCUUUAAUGUUUGAUGUUCUAACGUGGACCCGUAAUCCGGGUUGCGGACAGUGUCUGGUGGGUAGUUUGACUGGGGCGGUCUCCUCCUAAAGAGUAACGGAGGAGCACGAAGGUUGGCUAAUCCUGGUCGGACAUCAGGAGGUUAGUGCAAUGGCAUAAGCCAGCUUGACUGCGAGCGUGACGGCGCGAGCAGGUGCGAAAGCAGGUCAUAGUGAUCCGGUGGUUCUGAAUGGAAGGGCCAUCGCUCAACGGAUAAAAGGUACUCCGGGGAUAACAGGCUGAUACCGCCCAAGAGUUCAUAUCGACGGCGGUGUUUGGCACCUCGAUGUCGGCUCAUCACAUCCUGGGGCUGAAGUAGGUCCCCAAGGGUAUGGCUGUUCGCCAUUUAAAGUGGUACGCGAGCUGGGUUUAGAACGUCGUGAGACAGUUCGGUCCCUAUCUGCCGUGGGCGCUGGAGAACUGAGGGGGGCUGCUCCUAGUACGAGAGGACCGGAGUGGACGCAUCACUGGUGUUCGGGUUGUCAUGCCAAUGGCACUGCCCGGUAGCUAAAUGCGGAAGAGAUAAGUGCUGAAAGCAUCUAAGCACGAAACUUGCCCCGAGAUGAGUUCUCCCUGAGACUUUAAGUCUCCUGAAGGAACGUUGAAGACGACGACGUUGAUAGGCCGGGUGUGUAAGCGCAGCGAUGCGUUGAGCUAACCGGUACUAAUGAACCGUGAGGCUUAACCUU